GACGAACGCUGGCGGCGUGCUUAACACAUGCAAGUCGAACGGAAAGGCCCUGCUUUUGUGGGGUGCUCGAGUGGCGAACGGGUGAGUAACACGUGAGUAACCUGCCCUUGACUUUGGGGUAACUUCAGGAAACUGGGGCUAAUACCGGAUAGGAGCUCCUGCUGCAUGGUGGGGGUUGGAAAGUUUCGGCGGUUGGGGAUGGACUCGCGGCUUAUCAGCUUGUUGGUGGGGUAGUGGCUUACCAAGGCUUUGACGGGUAGCCGGCCUGAGAGGGUGACCGGCCACAUGGGGACUGAGAUACGGCCCAGACUCCUACGGGAGGCAGCAGUGGGGAAUAUUGCACAAUGGGCGGAAGCCUGAUGCAGCAACGCCGCGUGCGGGAUGACGGCCUUCGGGUUGUAAACCGCUUUCGCCUGUGACGAAGCGUGAGUGACGGUAAUGGGGAAAGAAGCACCGGCUAACUACGU
rnacentral:rRNA from 1 species